ensembl:lncRNA
UGUAAUGUUUUGGUCGAUGUGUGAGUCGCUGUGGGAAUGAGACUGCGUGGCAGGGAUUUGGAGGAUUCCACUGUCUCCUGGAUACCAAGCGUCCUGGGUGUGCAGAGCGUCAGGCUCCGCCUUCGCCUUGAUCGCCGUGACGACAGGGGGAGGGGUCUCUGGCAGCUGGUUGACCUGGGAGAGGAAGUGCAGAGUGGGCGUCGGAUACGAGAUAGGACACCUCCUACUUGUUCUCAAAGUCUGAUGAGUAUUCCUGCUGCUGCAUCAGUUCAGUCAGGGGGUGGAGAGAUGCAAUCACCUGGGGCUAUUAGCCCCUCCUUCCUCCCGCCCCCAAGUGGAAAAGUUCCAGGUCGCAAGAGGGGUCGCCCACCCCUAAAGAGGCACCCGGAAUAUCAGAGUCGCUACCCAGAAUCCUUCCCACCCAUUAAAGUGCCUAAGAAGAGAGGCAGGAAGCCUGGCUUUAAGGUCAGUAAAUAUCAGAGUGUUUGUGUGUCUGUUUAAAAAUGCGCAUACAUGUGUAGGCCACAGAGAUAAGGCCUUUUUACUGUUCAGACGUGUCUGCCAAAUGCAUAAAUGUCAUCAAGUGGUGCAUUUGAAUGGUGCGUGUGUAACACUUAUGAUGGUUUAGCUAGAGGAUCAGAGUAAUGCUUUGUAGGUAGGCCCAUCUGAUGUUGACUCUACAAGAGAAGGAGGUGAUAGGGUGGUUGUUCUUUGACUGAUGUAUCUGCAGUCUGCUGCUGAGUUAUUUUUAGCCGUGUGCCUGAGCACAAGCCUCAUAAUGUCGCUGCUGCUGAUUUAAAGAGCAACACGCUACCACAAUGUGUGUGCAUGUUAGCAGAUUUGCAGUAGACACAGUGGAAACACACUCUUGUUUAACCUAAACCUAAUGGUUAUUGCUAUUUAUAGCAGUGUUAGGGACAGUUUAUUUUCCAUAACUUAUAUUUUAU